rnacentral:lncRNA from 1 species
CAAGCAGUAUUAGGUGUUCCUGCCAACAUCUUCAGCUAAGAAUUCAACUCCUCACUAAUAUUGAUUGUGAUACCUGAGAAUGAGUAAACCUCUAGGACAGAGUCAGCAAACAUUUUCUUUAAGAGCCAAGUAGCAGAUAUUUAGACUAUUCUUAGUUCAUGGGCUGUAUAAAAAUAGACAGAAUUUGGCCUGUGAGGCUGUAGUUUACCCUGCUUUAAAUGGUUCCUAUACCCAACCUUUAAGGCAUCCCAGCUAAAGGUGAGUGGAGCAGAAAUGAGCUGACCCCACUGAGCUUUGUCCAAAUGUUUCCUCUUCCAUAAAAUGAAGAUAACAGUAGUACCUCUUGGAUGGAUGUGUUAAGAAAAAGAUAAUGCCUGUGAAGUACCUAGCGCAGGACCUAGCACAGUACAUAGCACGGUACCUGGAGAACUGUGAUGAGCUUGUUUCCCACUUCACUGGAAAACAAAAUGGGAAUAUUCAGAAGAUAAGUUCCACAGCUCCCAUAGCAUCUUCCUAUCUACCAGGAUUUGGACCUUCUACACCCUGCUCCCAUUAAGGAAUUAGCCUUGCUCUUGUCCAAAACUAGCCUUUGCGUAUGCCUUAGAUCCUAUCCCCCUUGCUUGCUCACAGGCUUUGCUCCAGCAAUUCUCCCUAUUUUUCCCCUAUACCAUCAGCUUCCUCUCUCUACUAGGUCAUUUCCACCAGCACACAACAAUACUGUCUCUCUCAUCUUAGAAAUGGAAACUAACAAAAUUGAGUUCACUUUUCCUUCUGACACUAUCCCUUUUCUACCUCCCCCACUUUACAGCAAAACUCUUUGAAAGCUGCCUGAAUUUCACUGCUUCCAUUUCCUCUCCUCUUCUCACUUAAACCUACUGCUGCCAGAACCGGGACUCCACCACCUCACCAGACCCCUGCUUGUCAAUAUCAUCAAUGACUUCCAUCUUGCUAAAUCCAUUUCUUGUCCCCAUUGAACUUGACCCUCAGUAACACCUUGUCAAAUUAACCACUCCCUUCUCAUGGAAAUGAUUUCUUGUUUUCUAAGACACUACACAUUUCGUUUUCCUUCAACACCCCUGGAUGCUGCUUCCCAGUCUUGUCCCUUAACCUCCUAGCACUGAAGUGAUGCAGGGCUCAGUCCACAGAUCUCUUCAUCUUUCCUGUUCACUCCAUACUCACCCUCUUGGUAAUUCCCUUCCAGUUUCAUCGUUUAAAUGGCAUCUGUCUGCAAAUGAUUAUCAAAUGUAUGCCUCCAGCCAUGGCCACUGCUCUCAACGUUAGCUUAUCCAUCUAACUGUCAACUCUGUAUCUCUACCUGGACGCCUGAUGGAGGUCUCCAAUGUACCAUGCCCUAAACUGAAAUUUUGAUCUUCUUUAUCCACAGAAUCUGCUCGACCCUAUCUCAGUUAAAGGUAUCUAUGCCCUGGUCUAGAAGGCCUUCAGUAAUUAGAAAGCAUGUAUUUUGUGUGUAUGCCUUGAUAAGUGUUGACUGUAGCUAUAGCAAGGGAUAAUUCAUCAUCAGGAAAUGGUCAGGAGAGUGUCUCCAAAUCUUUUAAGCAUGCGCUAACCUUCAUAUAUAGGGUCCUUGUAUUACCUUUUCUCAAGUUGUACUAUAAUGUCCCGACCUUCAAAAGACCUUAUCCUUGUACAUUUGAGGACUCUUAUCUUUCCUAAUUAAAGUCAGAUGGUUGUCUUGUGGGUUUUCUUCUUCCUUUCUCUUUUGUGAGCUGCCUCUUAACAGCUGUGGUGUGUUGCUAGUGAAUUAUCAGUGGACAG